rfam:Morganella morganii subsp. morganii KT, complete genome.
CACCGACAUCAGGGAUUCAUUACGUGAUCCCUGGCCGACGGCCAGAUACGCCAGCAUGCCCAGCUCUUUCAUCUGCUCUUCGCCGAUGACACGGGUACUGAGCACCGGAGAGUUGCUGUCUGCCAGCUGACGCGCCUGAGAUGCCAGAUAAGCGGCAUUACAGAUAUUCGGCGGCAUAUUGGCCAGAUCUUUCGC